GGAGAGAUGGCCGAGUUGGUUAUGGCGUCAGGUUAAGGCUCUAAAGUCUUGACAUUACGUUUCCUGAUGGGGCAACCCGCGUGGGUUCGAAUCCCACUCUCUUCA
rnacentral:tRNA from 1 species